rnacentral:rRNA from 1 species
UACAGAGGGUGCAAGCGUUACUCGGAAUUACUGGGCGUAAAGCGUGCGUAGGUGGUUGUUUAAGUCUGUCGUGAAAGCCCUGGGCUCAACCUGGGAACUGCGAUGGAAACUGGGCGACUAGAGUGUGGUAGAGGGUAGCGGAAUUCCUGGUGUAGCAGUGAAAUGCGUAGAUAUCAGGAGGAACAUCCAUGGCGAAGGCAGCUACCUGGGCCAACACUGACACUGAGGCACGAAAGCGUGGGGAGCAAACAGG